GAUGAACGCUGGCGGAAUGCUUUACACAUGCAAGUCGAACGGCAGCACGGGGGCAACCCUGGUGGCGAGUGGCGAACGGGUGAGUAAUACAUCGGAACGUGCCCAAUCGUGGGGGAUAACGUAGCGAAAGCUACGCUAAUACCGCAUACGAUCUACGGAUGAAAGCGGGGGAUCGCAAGACCUCGCGCGAUUGGAGCGGCCGAUGGCAGAUUAGGUAGUUGGUGAGGUAAAGGCUCACCAAGCCUUCGAUCUGUAGCUGGUCUGAGAGGACGACCAGCCACACUGGGACUGAGACACGGCCCAGACUCCUACGGGAGGCAGCAGUGGGGAAUUUUGGACAAUGGGCGAAAGCCUGAUCCAGCCAUUCCGCGUGCAGGAUGAACGGCCCUCGGGUUGUAAACUGUCUUUUGUACGGAACGAAACGCGUACGAGUUAAUACCUUGACGUAAUGACGGUACGUAAGAAUAAGCACCGGCUAACUACGUGCCAGCAGCCGCGUAAUCUCG
rnacentral:rRNA from 1 species